rnacentral:rRNA from 1 species
GCAGCCUGAUGCAGCAACGCCGCGUGAGGGACGACGGCCUUCGGGUUGUAAACCUCUUUUAGCAGGGAAGAAGCGAAAGUGACGGUACCUGCAGAAAAAGCACCGGCUAACUACGUGCCAGCAGCCGCGGUAAUACGUAGGGUGCAAGCGUUAUCCGGAAUUAUUGGGCGUAAAGAGCUCGUAGGCGGUUUGUCACGUCUGCUGUGAAAACUGGAGGCUCAACCUCCAGCCUGCAGUGGGUACGGGCAGACUAGAGUGCGGUAGGGGAGAUUGGAAUUCCUGGUGUAGCGGUGGAAUGCGCAGAUAUCAGGAGGAACACCGAUGGCGAAGGCAGAUCUCUGGGCCGUAACUGACGCUGAGGAGCGAAAGGGUGGGGAGCAAACAGGCUUAGAUACCCUGGUAGUCCACCCCGUAAACGUUGGGAACUAGUUGUGGGGUCCAUUCCACGGAUUCCGUGACGCAGCUAACGCAUUAAGUUCCCCGCCUGGGGAGUACGGCCGCAAGGCUAAAACUCAAAGGAAUUGACGGGGACCCGCACAAGCGGCGGAGCAUGCGGAUUAAUUCGAUGCAACGCGAAGAACCUUACCAAGGCUUGACAUAUACGAGAACGCUGCAGAAAUGUAGAACUCUUUGGACA